rnacentral:snRNA from 1 species
GUGCUUGCUUCAGCAGCACGUACACUAAAAUUGGAACGGGAUUAGCAUGGCUCCUGCACAAAGGUGACAUGCCAAUUCAUGAAGCUUUCCACAUUGUU